CUUGGCUUUCAGGAAGGACCUACAUUAGUGCCUGUUUACUAACCGAAUUAAAUCCGAAGGCGAUUUUUGCAUUUAUGAAACGAGAUGAAGAGGGAAGAUACUCAGCAUUUGCGUUGUGGCAAGCUGUGACAGGCGCGGUGCAAAAGGCCGGGUCAGCCUCCUGCCCUGGGAACUACCCGUAGCAUCUCAGCAUUCAGGCCUCCAUGAACCGUGCUGCUUAUCUCAACUCAUUUAUUCCUCAGCAAGAUGUGUCCUAAAGUAUAAGAAAAGCCUGAGAGAGGUUAUUUUGGGGGGCUAGGAAAAGCUCAAUUUUUUUUCCAUAUAAACUAGUGGUAAUUCCUUCUUUCCCUUAUAGCAUUUCAGCUUAUGAAAGAUUCCAGGGAAAUGCUCUACUUUUGCAUUGCGAGGAAAUCUGUAUAACAGAGUAGGGGGUAUAAGAGGGGUCUGUAGGGAAGUAGAAGUAAAGCCAUCUUGUUCACGUCAGGGUGGAAGUUGACCAAAGAAACACCAGAAACUUCACCAUCUGCUACUUCUGGCAGGGUUAUUUCUCUGUGUAAACACUGAAGUGAGUGGCCCUGCAGUUCUUCAUAACCUUGUGUAGAGCUGCUUUGGAUCCGAACCCAAGUCCUCUCUGCAAGAGAGGAAGAAGAGACAAGGAAGGAAGGAAGGAAGGAAGGAAGGAAGGAAGGAAGGAGAAAGGAAAGAAGGAAUAGUGGAGGGAGGGAGGGAGGAAGGAACAGAGAGAAUAGAAGAAAGAAAUGGAGCAAUGAAGGAAUGAAGAAAAUGAAUGAAUGAGUGAAGAGAAUGAAGGAAUGAAGAGAGAGAAGGUGAAAUGAGAAAAAUUCUUUUUUCCCUGCCCAGGGAAAAUCCUUGAUAGAAUGUAAGCUUUCUCUACAAUGAUAUACCUUCCUUGUACCAAAAAGUCUCACUGUACACUUGAAAUGCAGACAAUGUUUACUUAUCAAUCAUACCUUCAUAAAGCUGAAAACAAAUACAGAUGAGCACUCCCCAAAAAGGAGCUUUGGCCAACAGCUCAUGUCUUCUGGUGAGUUGCACAGAGGUCACAUGAGAAGACCAGAAAGAAAGGAAAAAAGAAAAGAAAAGAAAAAGAUUUCAGAAAGCACAAUUCCUUUGAGGAGUCACUGUGCCUGCUGCAAAAUUAUUUGAAUGAAAAGAUUUUCUUUUUGGAGGUAAAACGACAAUUAAGGUCGACCUCCUCCGUUCAAAUUAAAAAAGAGAAAAAGGAGUGUAAUGAAGAAUCUGACUCCUUCCUCUAAUUUUACAAGUUCAAUGGUAAUCUAACCGUGCCAUUCAUUUACAGAAACCAUUAAUUUUACUAUGUGGCUGAAAGUAGUAGGCCUCAGCUUUCAUUCUCUUGCUUCUCCCCUCCCUUAGUCUUUGUAUGUGCACCUGUUCAGGCCACUUUAGCAUCCCAUUUGUAAAACUUUGGAUAAUCC
rnacentral:lncRNA from 1 species